rnacentral:rRNA from 1 species
CCUACGGGGGGCAGCAGUGGGGAAUAUUGCACAAUGGGGGAAACCCUGAUGCAGCAACGCCGCGUGAGUGAAGAAGUUUUUCGGUUCGUAAACUUCUAUUAUCAGGGAAGAAAAUGACGGUAUCUGACUAAUAAGCCCCGGCUAACUCCGUGCCAGCAGCCGCGGUAAUACGUAGGGGGCAAGCGUUAUCCGGAUUUACUGGGAGUAAAGGGAGCGUAGACGGGAGGGCAAGUCUGAAGUGAAAUCCCAUGGCUUAACCAUGGAACUGCUUUUGAAACUGUCGAUCUAGAGUGCGGGAGAGGUAGGCGGAAUUCGUAGUGUAGCGGUGAAAUGCGUAGAUAUUAGGAGGAACACUAGUGGCGAAGGCGGCCUGCUGGACCAUAACUGACGUUGAGGCGCGAAAGCGUGGGGAGCAAACAGGAUUAGAUACCCGAGUAGUC